rnacentral:rRNA from 1 species
AGCGAAUGCUGGCGGCAGGCUUAACACAUGCAAGUCGAGCGAGCGGCAGACGGGUGAGUAACGCGUGGGAACGUACCUUUUGGUUCGGCACAACACAGGGAAACUUGUGCUAAUACCGGAUACCGAAAAAUCGGCCCGCGUCUGAUUAGCUAGUUGGUAGGGUAAUGGCCUACCAAGGCGACGAUCCCUAGCUGGUCUGAGAGGAUGACCAGCCACACUGGAACUGAGACACGGUCCAGACUCCUACGGGAGGCAGCAGUGGGGAAUUUUGCACAAUGGGCGCAAGCCUGAUGCAGCCAUGCCGCGGGUAUGAAGAAGGCCUUCGGGUUGUAAAGUACUUUCAGCGGGGAGGCGUUACCCGCAGAAGAAGCACCGGCUAACUCCGUGCCAGCAGCCGCGGUAAUAC